rnacentral:rRNA from 1 species
GAAUUCGCCCUUAGAGUUUGAUCCUGGCUCAGGACGAACGCUGGCGGCGCGCCUAACACAUGCAAGUCGAACGGAGCUUAGAGAGCUUGCUUUUUAAGCUUAGUGGCGAACGGGUGAGUAACGCGUGAGUAACCUGCCCUGGAGUGGGGGACAACAGUUGGAAACGACUGCUAAUACCGCAUAAGCCCACGGAGCCGCAUGGCUUUGAGGGAAAAGGAUUUAUUCGCUUCAGGAUGGACUCGCGUCCAAUUAGCUAGUUGGUGAGGUAACGGCCCACCAAGGCGACGAUUGGUAGCCGGACUGAGAGGUUGAACGGCCACAUUGGGACUGAGACACGGCCCAGACUCCUACGGGAGGCAGCAGUGGGGGAUAUUGCACAAUGGGGGAAACCCUGAUGCAGCGACGCCGCGUGGAGGAAGAAGGUUUUCGGAUUGUAAACUCCUGUCGUUAGGGACGAUAAUGACGGUACCUAACAAGAAAGCACCGGCUAACUACGUGCCAGCAGCCGCGGUAAAACGUAGGGUGCAAGCGUUGUCCGGAAUUACUGGGUGUAAAGGGAGCGCAGGCGGACCGGCAAGUUGGAAGUGAAAUCCAUGGGCUUAACCCGUGAAUUGCUUUCAAAACUGCUGGCCUUGAGUAGUGCAGAGGUAGGUGGAAUUCCCGGUGUAGCGGUGGAAUGCGUAGAUAUCGGGAGGAACACCAGUGGCGAAGGCGACCUACUGGGCACCAACUGACGCUGAGGCUCGAAAGCAUGGGUAGCAAACAGGAUUAGAUACCCUGGUAGUCCAUGCCGUAAACGAUG